GUAGGGAAUAUUGGGCAAUGGAGGCAACUCUGACCCAGCCAUGCCGCGUGCAGGAUGACGGCCCUCUGGGUUGUAAACUGCUUUUAUACGGGAAGAAAAAAUACUACGUGUAGUAUACUGACGGUACCGUAAGAAUAAGGAUCGGCUAACUCCGUGCCAGCAGCCGCGGUAAUACGGAGGAUCCAAGCGUUGUCCGGAUUUAUUGGGUUUAAAGGGUGCGUAGGCGGAUCUUUAAGUCAGUGGUGAAAGCCUGCAGCUUAACUGUAGAAUUGCCAUUGAAACUGAAGAUCUUGAAUGUGGUUAAAGUAGGCGGAAUGUAUCAUGUAGCGGUGAAAUGCUUAGAUAUGAUACAGAACACCGAUAGCGAAGGCAGGUGGCUGUACCUUAAUCGACGCUGAUGCACGAAAGCAUGGGGAGCAAACAGGAUUAGAAACCCCUGUAGUCC
rnacentral:rRNA from 1 species